UCUAUUUAUGUGCAACGUCACAGGCACACGCCGUGUCAUCCUCGGUGCUUUCCCGAAGCUGGUUUGCAGGAGCGAGCGCCCAGCUAAGCCAGAGGGCUCGGCCUCCGUCCGCGACAUCCCGCGGGGCUCACACCCGGGCCUCCCGCCGCAGAACUCCCAGGAAGCGACCACAGCUUGUUACUCUGUGAAAGAAACGGUCCCCGCUGCAGACUCCGCUGCUAGUCCGGGGGACGAAAACGAGGAGAAACGGCAAGGAUUUAAGAAAGUGAUAAAGAAAGUGUGGGUGUACUCCCAGAGGUAGCUACCAAUUGCUUCUGCAAUUCCAAUGACCGGAGCUUAGAAAAUGCAUGCAUCCGUCUCCACACUCCACUGGCUCCUACAAGAUCUACUAAUUUUUCAGACGAGACCUGGUAUAUAUUCAGAAACUCUGGAAAGAGCACAGUGUUCUGCAGCAAAAGCCAAAAUUAUUUCUGAGCUUCCUUCUGA